AUUACCUUUUCUGACUCAGAAUGUGCCAAAAAGGCUUUGGAACAGCUUAAUGGAUUCGAGUUAGCAGGGAGACCAAUGAAAGUUGGUCAUGUUACUGAACGAACUGAUGCAUCUAGCGCUAGUUCAUUUUUGGACAGUGAUGAAUUAGAAAGGACUGGAAUUGACUUGGGAACAACAGGUCGUCUCCAGUUGAUGGCAAGACUUGCAGAGGGUACCGGUUUGCAGAUUCCACCAGCAGCACAACAAGCUUUACAAAUGAGUGGCUCUCUGGCAUUUGGUGCUGUGGCAGAAUUCUCUUUUGUUAUAGAUUUGCAAACACGACUUUCCCAACAGACUGAAGCCUCAGCUUUAGCUGCAGCUGCGUCUGUUCAACCUCUUGCAACACAGUGUUUCCAACUUUCUAACAUGUUUAAUCCUCAAACAGAAGAAGAAGUUGGAUGGGAUACAGAGAUUAAAGAUGAUGUCAUUGAAGAAUGUAAUAAACAUGGUGGAGUCAUUCAUAUUUAUGUUGACAAAAAUUCAGCUCAGGGCAAUGUGUAUGUGAAGUGCCCAUCGAUUGCUGCGGCUAUUGCUGCUGUCAAUGCGUUGCAUGGCAGGUGGUUUGCUGGUAAAAUGAUAACAGCAGCGUAUGUACCUCUUUCAACAUACCACAACCUCUUUCCUGAUUCCAUGACAGCAACACAACUACUGGUUCCAAGUAGACGAUGAAGGAGAUGCAGUCCCUGAUGUAUAUAGCUUUUUUUUCUCUUGAGAAUUCAUCUUGAGUUAUCUUUUAUUUAGAUAAAAAAUAAAGAGGCAAGGGUCUACUGUCGUUUGUAUACAACUCCUGUUAUCUGGAAAAAUAAAAAUGUUAAC
rnacentral:misc_RNA from 1 species